rnacentral:lncRNA from 12 species
AUGCCGAAAUUCUUUUUAUCCAAAGGAAGCAGAGUAACCAUUUUCCUGGAAAAGGGAUUCUCUGAGGUAAGGCUCCCGAAAUUUAGGGAAAGGCAUACUUAUGGAUGUAGACAAAAGGGAACAGAGGCACCAAUGGGCCCAAGGAAACAACUAACAGAGUUGAAGUCCCUGUCAUUUAAGUGCAAGGUAAGCAAGAGCUUGCCAGUGAGUGUUGUUUUCUUGGAAGUCACUUAAAUUUUUUUUUUUUCCUGUACAAAUUACUUUCUAAUGUAAACCUGAAGGCAACAUUAGUGGUAAUAUUUGCACACAUUGUAAGUACUUGAUAUUCUUUAGUUUAUAAUACAUGUACACAAAUAGUGUCACUGAAUGAAACUACUGUUUUUUGUUGUGACAGAUCCUGCUGAGGCCCCAAUGUGGGUAUGUGAAACUGUGUGUAUGUUCAUACGUGUUGUUUAUUUGCCUUGUGUGGUGAAGAGUGGAGAGUUAGAGUAAACCCCAGCUCUGUCCUUAACUCUGUUGUCAUUUUCUCUGGGUUUCCAUUUUUUCCAUUUAUAAAAUUUUAGUGAGCUCUAGACUCUGUUCCAACUCUACCAUCCAGUGAUGCUCAGUUUUUAUUUUUUUAAAGAUUUAUUUAUUUAUUCAGAGAGAGAGAGAGAA